ensembl:lncRNA
AAUUGCAGACAGAAAAAAAUUUGACGCCUACUGUUUUGAUGCUAAAGAUACAUCAGAGAAGAACUGCGCAGCUUUGCUUGACCCUGAGAGUUCAAACAAAACAGAUGGCGACUCGGCAUUUGCAGAAGUCCCAACACACCGACCAAAUGCAGGAGAGGAAGAUUCUGAAAAUUCAACAUCUGAAGUCACAUCUGUGUCUGAGUCCUCUACUCCAGAUCACUUGAUGCAGACCAGUCCCUCACAGGGCCCUGUGGAACAGAACCACACUGAUCAAACAGAUGAUCAGACGAACCGUUAUACACGUAAAGAGUUGACAAAUCCAGACACCACAGGGCUGGGAGUGACCCCUAAAGAAACAGCAACAA